UCAAAACAUUUGCCCUCCUGUGGGCUGUCACAUACAUAGACCCAGACUUUCUUGGAGAAGGAAUUCUGAAGAAGCAAAAGCAACCAACUCAAAACCCCUACUUCCCCAAGAAGAAAACGUGGGCAAGCAGAUGCAGAAAGGCAGCAGCCAAAGCCUGCGGGUUCCUGCGGGGGCCAGGGGAGGGGCGAGCCCUACAGGCAACUUGAACGGAGAGCGCUUUGAUCACCCGCCAGCCCGGGAAGGCAAGCCCCAGUCAGGCGGAAGGUAGAUGGUGGAGGGGCGCGGCGACUGGCGGGCGGCGGGAGGCACCAACCGCCACAGACCACUCCCAGCUGGCCGAGGGCGGGGAGGGGGCAGGCAGGGAAGCGGCCCGCCCUUCGUCCUGCCCCUCGCCCUACUCUCUGUCACCUCCGCUGGAAGGAGUGGACCCCAGACUUGCUGGUCUGAUCCAUGCACAAGGCGGGGCUGCUAGGCCACUGUGCCCGGGCACGGAAGUCGGUGCGGAUGGCCAGCUCCGGGAUGACCCGCCGGGACCCGCUCACAAAUAAGGUGGCCCUGGUAACGGCCUCCACCGACGGGAUCGGCUUCGCCGUCGCCCAGCGUCUGGCCCAAGACGGGGCCCACGUGGUUGUCAGCAGCCGGAAGCAGCAGAAUGUGGACAAGGCAGUGGCCACGCUGCAGGGGGAGGGGCUGAGCAUGACGGGCACCGUGUGCCAUGUGGGGAAGGUGAAGGACUGGGAGCGGCUGGUGGCCACAGCUAUGAAGCUUCAUGGAGUUAUUGGUAUCCUAUCAAUAUCGAUAACAAACUCCAAAAGAGGGUUGUUUUGGUUUACACUUCUGCAGACUGUAGAAGAAGCGUGGGAUAGAACUCUGGACAUUAAUGGGAAGGCCCCAGCCCUGAUGACAAAGGCAGUGGUGCCAGAAAUGGAGAAACGAGGGGGUGGUUCAGUGGGGUUCCUGGCCUCUGUAGCAGCCUUCAGGCCACUUCCUGGCUUCAGUCCUUACAAUGUCAGUAAAACAGCCUUGCUGGGCCUCAGCAAGACCCUGGCCAUAGAGCUGGCCCCAAGGAACAUUAGGGUGAACUGCCUGGCACCUGGACUUAUCAAGACUAGCUUCAGCAGGAUGCUCUGGAUGGACAAGGAAAAAGAGAAAAGCAUGAAAGAAACCCUGCGGAUAAGAAGGUUAGGCGAGCCAGAGGAUUGUGCUGGCAUCGUGUCUUUCCUGUGCUCUGAAGAUGCCAGCUACAUCACUGGGGAAACAGUGGUGGUGGGUGGAGGAACCCCGUCCCGCCUCUGAGGACCGGGAGACAGCCCACAGGGCAGAGUUGGGCUCUAGCUCCUGGUGCUGUUCCUGCAUUCAUCCACUGGCCUUUCCCACCUCUGCUCACCUUACUGUUCACCUCAUAAAAUCAGUUCUGCCCUGUGAAAAGAUCCAGCCUUCCCGGCCGUCAAGGUGGCGUCUUACUCGGGAUUCCUGCUGUUGUUGUGGCCUUGGGUAAAGGCCUCCCCUGAGAACACAGGACAGGCCUGCUGACAAGGCUGAGUCUACCUUGGCAAAGACCAAGAUAUUUUUUGCCCAGGCCACUGGGGAAUUUGAGGGGAGAUGAGAGAGAAGGAAGCUGGAGUGGAAGGAGCAGAGUUGCAAAUUAACAACUUGCAAAUGAGGUGCAAAUAAAAUGCAGAUGAUUGCGCGGCUUUGAA